UACGAGUUGAAAAAUACUGACAGAGAGCAGUGGACCAUAAUGGACUGUCUGCCUGUUUUGUUUGUUUGCUGCUUGCACAUUGGGUUAAAGGUAAAGGGGCACUGGAGUCACGGUGAUUUCCUGAAGGAGGAGGAAGAUGGAUCCUUCCUGUGGAAACAUCUGGGCACAGCUGGAGAGCAACAGUUCCAGCAACUGGAGCACGGGGGAGAGGAGCAGGGAAUCUCAGGCAGAGACGGUCAAGAGGGGCAGGGAACAUCCACGGUGCCCAGGAGGGCUCAGCACAGUGGGAGUCCUAUUUAACUGCAAAGAGAAAUUCAGAGACAACAGCAGUUCCAGAGCACCUGUUUGGAAAGCGAUUAUGUUUGAAAGAAGAGCAGGGCAGCUUCCAACAUGGGAGGCUGAGCAUGCUUAAAUAUAGC
rnacentral:lncRNA from 1 species